AUUGAACGCUGGCGGCAGGCUUAACACCUGCAAGUCGAACGAGUGGCGGACGGGUGAGUAAUGCUUGGGAAUCUGGCUUAUGGAGGGGGAUAACGACGGGAACCUGUCGCUAAUACCGCGUACCAUCGGAUGCGCCCAAGUGGGAUUAGGUAGGUGGUGGGGGAAUGGCCUACCAAGCUGACGAUCUCUAGCUGGGCUGAGAGGAUGAACAGCCACACCGGGACUGAGAGACGGCCCGGACUCCUACGUGAGGCAGCAGUGGGGAAUAUUGCUCAGUGGGUGCAACCCUGACGCAGCCAUGCCGCGUGUAUGAAGAAGGCCUUCGGGUUGUAAAGUCCUUUCGGUAUUGAGGCGGUAAAUACAGAAGAAGCUCCGGCUGACUCCGUGCCAGCAGCCGCGGUAAUUC
rnacentral:rRNA from 1 species